rnacentral:rRNA from 1 species
UACGGGGGGGGGUAAGCGUUGUUCGGAAUUACUGGGCGUAAAGGGCUCGUAGGCGGCCAACUAAGUCAGACGUGAAAUCCCUCAGCUUAACUGGGGAACUGCGUCUGAUACUGGAUGGCGUGGAUUCGGGAGAGGAAUGCGGAAUUCCAGGUGUAGCGGUGAAAUGCGUAGAUAUCUGGAGGAACACCGGUGGCGAAGGCGGCAUUCUGGACCGACAUUGACGCUGAGGAGCGAAAGCCAGGGGAGCAAACGGG